rnacentral:rRNA from 1 species
GAGAAUGCCGGUGUGAGUAGCGAAAGACGGGUGAGAAUCCCGUCCACCGAUUGACUAAGGUUUCCAGAGGAAGGCUCGUCCGCUCUGGGUUAGUCGGGUCCUAAGCUGAGGCCGACAGGCGUAGGCGAUGGAUAACAGGUUGAUAUUCCUGUACCACCUAUAAUCGUUUUAAUCGAUGGGGGGACGCAGUAGGAUAGGCGAAGCGUGCGAUUGGAUUGCACGUCUAAGCAGUAAGGCUGAGUAUUAGGCAAAUCCGGUACUCGUUAAGGCUGAGCUGUGAUGGGGAGAAGACAUUGUGUCUUCGAGUCGUUGAUUUCACACUGCCGAGAAAAGCCUCUAGAUAGAAAAUAGGUGCCCGUACCGCAAACCGACACAGGUAGUCAAGAUGAGAAUUCUAAGGUGAGCGAGCGAACUCUCGUUAAGGAACUCGGCAAAAUGACCCCGUAACUUCGGGAGAAGGGGUGCUCUUUAGGGUUAACGCCCAGAAGAGCCGCAGUGAAUAGGCCCAAGCGACUGUUUAUCAAAAACACAGGUCUCUGCUAAACCGUAAGGUGAUGUAUAGGGGCUGACGCCUGCCCGGUGCUGGAAGGUUAAGAGGAGUGGUUAGCUUCUGCGAAGCUACGAAUCGAAGCCCCAGUAAACGGCGGCCGUAACUAUAACGGUCCUAAGGUAGCGAAAUUCCUUGUCGGGUAAGUUCCGACCCGCACGAAAGGCGUAACGAUUUGGGCACUGUCUCAACGAGAGACUCGGUGAAAUCAUAGUACCUGUGAAGAUGCAGGUUACCCGCGACAGGACGGAAAGACCCCGUGGAGCUUUACUGUAGCCUGAUAUUGAAAUUCGGCACAGCUUGUACAGGAUAGGUAGGAGCCUUUGAAACGUGAGCGCUAGCUUACGUGGAGGCGCUGGUGGGAUACUACCCUAGCUGUGUUGGCUUUCUAACCCGCACCACUUAUCGUGGUGGGAGACAGUGUCAGGCGGGCAGUUUGACUGGGGCGGUCGCCUCCUAAAAGGUAACGGAGGCGCUCAAAGGUUCCCUCAGAAUGGUUGGAAAUCAUUCAUAGAGUGUAAAGGCAUAAGGGAGCUUGACUGCGAGACCUACAAGUCGAGCAGGGUCGAAAGACGGACUUAGUGAUCCGGUGGUUCCGCAUGGAAGGGCCAUCGCUCAACGGAUAAAAGCUACCCCGGGGAUAACAGGCUUAUCUCCCCCAAGAGUUCACAUCGACGGGGAGGUUUGGCACCUCGAUGUCGGCUCAUCGCAUCCUGGGGCUGUAGUCGGUCCCAAGGGUUGGGCUGUUCGCCCAUUAAAGCGGUACGCGAGCUGGGUUCAGAACGUCGUGAGACAGUUCGGUCCCUAUCCGUCGUGGGCGUAGGAAAUUUGAGAGGAGCUGUCCUUAGUACGAGAGGACCGGGAUGGACAUACCUCUGGUGUACCAGUUGUCGUGCCAACGGCAUAGCUGGGUAGCUAUGUGUGGACGGGAUAAGUGCUGAAAGCAUCUAAGCAUGAAGCCCCCCUCAAGAUGAGAUUUCCCAACUUCGGUUAUAAGAUCCCUCAAA